AAAUUGGACCCGAGAGAUUUGGCACGACAGCGGCAGUGGCAGGUCAUCCGUGCUGUCAGUAUUAUUCCUUAUCUUGUGGCUUUUAUUGUUAUUAAUUGCUUGCAUCACAUUGGUUCCGAAUUUGUAAGAUGAAAGUAACACUUAAAUAAUAAGCAGCUUUCAUGGAAUUCCUGUGGGCCAUAGAACAUGACAGGGUGUGCAGGGAAAGGGUCUUCAGAGACUGGCUUGAUCCACUGGACGUCUGCUGUAUCAUGAAAUCCUGGACCUUGUAACUCCUUGGUGAUUCUGAUUAUUCUCUGAAAUCCUUUUCUAAUGACUCAUGAGCCAGCCAAGAGCUACUGGCAAGCACACCUACAACAGCCACACAAAGACAUGUGUGGUGAUACAGCAGACAUAUGGGACACCAAAAUCCAGAUUCUGCUGUCUCUACAAGUCAGGUGGCACCCUGCUGUACCACUCAGUUAAAAGUGCUCAUAAAGCAGCUGUACAUAUGCAGUUACACAACAUGUGCUUCCAAAGAAGAAUUCCCCUGAAUGAGCCACUAAUUGAUGAUGACCCCAGAGCUUAAGAAUAUAGAGGAGGCAUCCAAGCUGAACUGGCUUACUGCAGAGCACUCAAUGAAAAUGUGUUUUCAUAGGCUCUCUCUCUCUCUCUCUCUCUCUCUCUCUCUCUCUCUCUCUCUCUCUCUCUCUCUCUCUCUCUCCUUGAUGUUUCAUGCCCAUUUAGGACAUCACCUAAGGAUGUGGCCUUGGCAGAAGAAGAUCCAUGUCUUCCAGUUGAAGUCUUCCUUCCUCACUUGUUCCUAUACCAAUGCCUUUUGUCUUGCGUGUACUACCUCAACCUAUCUUAACAUCCAAGUGCCCUUCAGUAUACUCAUGUACGCUUCAGUAUUGUCAAAAUUAAAAAAGUUCAGUUCA